rnacentral:rRNA from 1 species
UACGUAGGGGGCAAGCGUUGUCCGGAUUUAUUGGGCGUAAAGAGCGUGUAGGCGGCCUGGUAGGUCAGCUGUGAAAACUCGAGGCUCAACCUCGAGACGCCGGUUGAAACCAUCAGGCUAGAGUCCGGAAGAGGAGAGUGGAAUUCCCGGUGUAGCGGUGAAAUGCGCAGAUAUCGGGAAGAACACCCGUGGCGAAGGCGGCUCUCUAGGACGGUACUGACGCUGAGACGCGAAAGCGUGGGGAGCGAACAGG